rnacentral:tRNA from 1 species
GCCUUCCUGGUGUAAUGAUCAGCAUACUCGGCGCAUAUUCGAGAGGUCCGAGGUUCGAAUCCCGGCGAGAGCA